rnacentral:rRNA from 1 species
GGGGAAUCUUGGUCAAUGGGCGCAAGCCUGAACCAGCGAUGCCGCGUGAGUGAUGAAGGCCUUCGGGUUGUAAAGCUCUGUGGGGAGGGGAGAAAAAGCGAGUUCUAAUAGGACUCGUGUUGACGGUACCUCCUUAGCAAGCACCGGCUAACUCCGUGCCAGCAGCCGCGGUAAUACGGAGGGUGCAAACGUUGCUCGGAAUCAUUGGGCGUAAAGCGCACGUAGGCGGUCCAGCAAGUCGGGUGUGAAAGCCCUCGGCUUAACCGAGGAAGUGCAUUCGAAACUACUGGACUUGAAUACUGGAGAGGAUCGCGGAAUUCCCGGUGUAGAGGUGAAAUUCGUAGAUAUCGGGAGGAACACCAGUGGCGAAGGCGGCGAUCUGGACAGAUAUUGACGCUGAGGUGCGAAAGCGUGGGGAGCAAA